rnacentral:lncRNA from 1 species
AACAGGUUUUUUUCCAAGGCUUUGAAGAAGGCCAUAAGCUUCAGAUGACUUAGUUGAGAUGAAAGAUGGCAAGGUUGUUGUAGAAUUCACAAGGCUUUUGUGUCAUGGUGAAGGAAAUGGUCUUGGGAGGUUUGUGUAUAUGCAUCAUAAUCUGAUGGCAACAUCAGUGAAUUAAGCAGGCAUGAAAUAGCUAGAACAAGGCUUUACCGACAAGCCUUACAUUGUUUUAUCCCAGGAAGAUAAUUUUGUUAAAUCUCAUGAUGAUAAUAAUAAAAAAAAUAAACCUGUCAUUGAUGUGG